UUAAAAACAAAAUGAGUUUGGAGACUUUGAUCAAAGAAUCGCUUGGGAGCUGGUUUAAAUGCCUUUCCCUGGCGCCCGUAGCGAUCUAUGAAUUGAAGGAUCUCUGAAAAUUUGCAUUUUUUUUUUUUUUUUCAAGUUCCCAAACGGUUCUUUUAGGACCCCUGCCUUUACGGUUAAGACGACUAGAUUUAAAACCUGGGCUUGGGAGGGGGAAGGGAGGGCCUUGAAAUCAGUAAAUCUGUAUAGAACCGAUAGAUGUGUGGUUCAGAGUAUAGGUUUUUGGUUUGUUAGGUUAAUAUAUUCGAGAAGAUUACGACUUGUGGUACAACUUGAAAUGUCCUGAUACAGUUGUGCUUUUCUUGAUGAAUGUCUCGUGAUUUCUUCAGCCACUCAUUAAUUCCUACAAGUGGGUCAUAUCUGCCAACAGCUGAUCUCAUUUUGAUUCCAGUCUUAUUCUUAGAAGUUUCCAGGUGACGCUGAUGCUGCUGGUCUCCGAAGCACACAGCACACGAAGCACACUUUAAGAACCUCCACUGGCUUAAAAAAGAAACAGGCCCCAAAUGGAAUCACUUGUGGUAAGCCCCAUGGCAGAAAUAAAAACUUUAAUAUCUCAUUUCAGUUUCAGCCUCUCCAGAGGUGGGAUUUUAAACCAAUCAGUCUGGAAUUUCCUGAUCAUCCCUAGUAAUCUGCUUGAUAGAUUCCCCACCUUUCCCCUAAAGGAAGGUAGCCUUACCGAAAAUAAUCCUUUCUUUUAUUCAUGACUUCCUGGUCUUAUCCCCCAUUUCUGCCUUUAAAAAUCUUCUAUUUUGUACAGCUACUCUGGAACUAUUUUCUAUUUGCUAGAUAGGAUGCUAAUUCAUGACUCAUCAAAUAAAGCCAUUGAGUUCUUCAAAUUUA